rnacentral:rRNA from 1 species
GACGAACGCUGGCGGCGUGCUUAACACAUGCAAGUCGAACGGAAAGGCCCUGCUUUUGUGGGGUGCUCGAGUGGCGAACGGGUGAGUAACACGUGAGUAACCUGCCCUUGACAUUGGGAUAACUUCAGGAAACUGGGGCUAAUACCGGAUAGGAGCUCCUGCUGCAUGGUGGGGGUUGGAAAGUUUCGGCGGUUGGGGAUGGACUCGCGGCUUAUCAGCUUGUUGGUGGGGUAGUGGCUUACCAAGGCUUUGACGGGUAGCCGGCCUGAGAGGGGGACCGGCCACAUUGGGACUGAGGUACGGCGCAGUCUGCUACGGGAGGCAGAAGGGGGGAGUAUUGCAGAAUGGGGGGAAGUCUGAUGCGGCAGCGCCGCGUGCGGAAAGACGGCCUUCGGGUUGUGAACCGCUUUCGCCGGUAACAAGGCGUGAGUGACGGUAAUGGGUCAAGAAGCACCGGCUAACUACGUG